CUUGAGAUAGUUUUUGAAGUCCCUCCACAUGGGUGGAAGUUUCUCGAUAAUUGCAGCCACUUGAAAUGAUUCGCUCACGGACAUAUUUUCCGCAUGAAUGUCAUGGAGUAUGACUUGCAAUUCUUGUACUUGACUGAUGACGGUCUUCGAAUCUACCAUUUUGUAGUCCAAGAAUUUUCCCACAAUGAACUUCUUGGUUCCGGCAUCUUCGGUCUUGUACUUCUUUUCCAAGGACUCCCAUAGUUCCUUUGCAGAUUUCUUGUAGCAAUAUACACC
rnacentral:lncRNA from 1 species